GGCUCUGGGGGAGCAAUGGUUGCAUUUGCCCUGCAGCAGCCUGGGCUGCCAGUUGGUUGGCAGUGCUGCUGGAGCCCAUGCUGCUGCACAUCUUGGGUCAGUGUGGUGGGGAAGCAGGAGCCUGGCACACGGCAUCCCCUUGUACCAUGAGAGCCAGCAGAGGUAGCAGCAGCAGCAGCAGCAAGGCAUGCACAGGGAUGAGUUUGUUGGCUCCCAAACCUGGCUUCCUGUGCAAGUGGAGCAGCCACUGCUGCAGCAGCACUGGCAGUUACCAGAGAAGCAGCAGCUGGUGUCCGAGUGGCCAUGGCUCCCAUGCUCGGGUCACCACAGCGGACAGCAGGAGCAGCAGCUGGGGCUCCCCAGUGAAGUCAGCCCACCCACCCCUGCAACAACAGCACCCUAGGAGCUCUGCUGUGCAGAAGAGCUUUGUGGACUUGUUGGGAGCACUGGAGCUCUAUGCCAGUGAACCAUUAAGGUGCCACGCUUUUAGAUGGAGCAUCGCGAGUUGAGGGUGAGCCAUGCUGAUUUGCAGGUGAUAAAGGAGGGGCCUGAAUACCCAAGGAUUGAAAGAUGGCCCUGGAGUCUUUCAUGGACUGAAAAAACGCAUUGAUCUUCGAGGAGAAGAAACUGUUACCCUCAAAGGGCAGAUCUUCUACAGCUGUCUGAAGUUGCGUCGGGAAGGCCGAGGAGUUGUAGCAAGCGGCCUUGCGCAUAGUAACUUCUGUAGCCAAUGCUCUAGUGGCUCUGUCCGCUGCAUCAAGUGCCACCUGGAGCGCUGUCCAUGAAAUUGCCCGGCCCUCAGAGACAAUGGCCUCAAAGUGCCCUUUUUUACUG